CAGCCGCCGCGGGAAAACGAAGGGGGCUAGCGUUGUUCGGAAUUACUGGGCGUAAAGCGCACGUAGGCGGAUAUUUAAGUCAGGGGUGAAAUCCCAGAGCUCAACUCUGGAACUGCCUUUGAUACUGGGUAUCUUGAGUAUGGAAAAGGUGAGUGGAAUUCCGAGUGUAGAGGUGAAAUUCGUAGAUAUUCGGAGGAACACCAGUGGCGAAGGCGGCUCACUGGUCCGUUACUGACGCUGAGGUGCGAAAGCGUGGGGAGCAAACAGGAUUAGAUACCCCGGUAGUCCCUGUCUCUUAUAC
rnacentral:rRNA from 1 species